rnacentral:rRNA from 1 species
GACGAACCGUGUGAACGUUGUUCGGAAUCACUGGGCUUAAAGGGCGCGUAGGCGGGCUGCCAAGUCUGGGGUGAAAUCCCACGGCUCAACCGUGGAACUGCCUCGGAUACUGGCGGCCUCGAGGGAGGUAGGGGCGUGCGGAACUGUGGGUGGAGCGGUGAAAUGCGUUGAUAUCCACAGGAACUCCGGUGGCGAAGGCGGCACGCUGGACCUUUUCUGACGCUGAGGCGCGAAAGCCAGGGGAGCAAACGGG